GAUGAACGCUAGCUACAGGCUUAACACAUGCAAGUCGAGGGGCAGCGGUAUCGAAAGCUUGCUUUCGGUAGCCGGCGACCGGCGCACGGGUGAGUAACGCGUAUCGAACCUGCCUCAUAAUCGUGAAUAGCCUUGCGAAAGUAAGAUUAAUGCCCGGUGUUUUCAGAGUCCCGCAUGAGGCUUUGAACAAAGAUUUAUCGGUAUGAGAUGGCGAUGCGUGCCAUUAGCUUGUUGGCGGGGUAACGGCCCACCAAGGCAUCGAUGGGUAGGGGUUCUGAGGGGAAGGUCCCUCACAUUGGAACUGAGACACGGUGCAAUCUCCUACGGGAGGCAGCAGUGAGGAAUAUUGGUCAGUGGGCGGAAGCCUGAACCAGCCAAGUAGCGUGCAGGAAGACCGCCCUCCGGGUUGUAAACUGCUUUUAGUUGGGAAUAAAACGGGGCUCGUGAGCCCCCUUGCAUGUACCAUCAGAAAAAGGACCGGCUAAUUCCGUG
rnacentral:rRNA from 1 species